UGGAGAGUUUGAUCCUGGCUCAGGACGAACGCUGGCGGCGUGCUUAACACAUGCAAGUCGAACGCUGAAGCCCCAGCUUGCUGGGGUGGAUGAGUGGCGAACGGGUGAGUAACACGUGAGUAACCUGCCCAUCACUCUGGGAUAAGCGCUGGAAACGGCGUCUAAUACUGGAUACGAGCAGCGACCGCAUGGUCAGCUGCUGGAAAGACUGGUUCGGUGAUGGAUGGACUCGCGGCCUAUCAGCUUGUUGGUGAGGUAAUGGCUCACCAAGGCGACGACGGGUAGCCGGCCUGAGAGGGUGACCGGCCACACUGGGACUGAGACACGGCCCAGACUCCUACGGGAGGCAGCAGUGGGGAAUAUUGCACAAUGGGCGCAAGCCUGAUGCAGCAACGCCGCGUGAGGGAUGACGGCCUUCGGGUUGUAAACCUCUUUUAGUAGGGAAGAAGCCUUCGGGUGACGGUACCUGCAGAAAAAGCACCGGCUAACUACGUGCCAGCAGCCGCGGUA
rnacentral:rRNA from 1 species